UACAGAGGUCUCAAGCGUUGUUCGGAAUCACUGGGCGUAAAGGGCUCGUAGGCGGUCUGUUGCGUCGGGAGUGAAAACUCAGGGCUUAACCCUGAGCCUGCUUCCGAUACGGGCAGACUAGAGGUAUGCAGGGGAGAACGGAAUUCCUGGUGUAGCGGUGGAAUGCGCAGAUAUCAGGAGGAACACCGGUGGCGAAGGCGGGUCUCUGGGCAGUAACUGACGCUGAGACGCGAAAGCGUGGGGAGCAAACAGG
rnacentral:rRNA from 1 species